AGUGAACGCUGGCGGUAGACCUAACACAUGCAAGUCGAACGGCAGCACAGUAAGAGCUUGCUCUUACGGGUGGCGAGUGGCGGACGGGUGAGGAAUACAUCGGAAUCUACUUUUUCGUGGGGGAUAACGUAGGGAAACUUACGCUAAUACCGCAUACGACCUACGGGUGAAAGCAGGGGAUCUUCGGACCUUGCGCGAUUGAAUGAGCCGAUGUCGGAUUAGCUAGUCGGCGGGGUAAAGGACCACAAAGGCGACGAUCCGUAGCUUGUCCGAGAGGAUGAUCAGCCACACGGGAACUGGGACAGGGUCCAGACUCCUACGGGGGGCAGCAGUGGGGAAUAUUGGACAUUGGGCGCAAGCCUGAUCCAGCCAUACCGCGUGGGUGAAGAAGGCCUUCGGGUUGUAAAGCCCUUUUGUUGGGAAAGAAAAGCAGCAGGUUAAUACCCCGCUGUUCUGACGGUACCCAAAGAAUAAGCACCGGCUAACUUCGU
rnacentral:rRNA from 1 species